rnacentral:tRNA from 1 species
GCCCAGGUGGUGAAAUUGGUAAACACAAGGGACUUAAAAUCCCUCGACCUUGGUCUUGCGGGUUCAAGUCCCGCCCUGGGCACCA